rnacentral:lncRNA from 1 species
GACUUUGAGCCACACAUUUACUUUUUACUGCUUAUGAGCAUUGAGUCUGGUCAAGCUGUGUAGACCCUUAGGAGCUUGUCAUGUGGUUAAAUCAAGAUUCACUUGCACGUUCACUCACACAUGCUGCUUCUACUCCGGAAGUACGCAUCCACAUAUAUCCACCCAUUUCCAUCUCCAGAACCACUCAAAAAUAUUCUACUCCUAAUCCAGUUGAGAAUAGCCAAAAACAUUCUCCUAUUUCUGUUUUCCCCUGUGAAAUAAAUGCUCAAGUUAUUUCGGUUACUACCACUUGCUACAUUAUUUCAAGAGAUGAGUGCUCUAAAAAAAGAAAGAAAACGAGGAAAUAAAAAGGGGCAAGUGCCCGGAACCUCGAAAGAAAAGAAAAUGUGAGACGAGAGGUAAAAAUGGACAAGUGUCCGAUAGUAGAAUUAGGGGUACAAGAUACCCACCUGAGAGAAAAGAAAAGAAAAUAUAGAGCAUCUCAUUCUCCUCAAAAAGUUUCAAAAGAGCAAGAAAGGUAUGUAUCCCCUCAAAAGAGCAUAAGUAGAAUUAGACUUUCAGCAUUGUUAUCACUAUCAUUACCUUGCAUCAUUCAUUCGCCACACAUGCACAUUUUGAUUUGACUUAUUGACUUGUUCUUCUGGAUCCAUGGUUUGACUAUGCGAUAAAUGUCUUGUAAGUAUGUAUUAGCUGUCUCCCACCUAUGAGCUCCAGAUAUCAAAAGCCUUAUUAGAGUAGGGUGAGAGAGAAGGCAAUGUCACUAUGCCUCAUACCAAAAAUACCACAAACUUUGAGAGAAGGCAUAUACCAUCACUACCUUGGUAAGGAUCCAGAAAUACCACAAAUGAGAGACUAGAGAGAGUCAUACAAGGAAUCUCUGAGUUUUAUUUGAAAAUCUGCAAAAACUCCAGAGCUAUAGUUAAUCGAAGAACAAGAGACAUGGUGCUUGACUAGACCGUUCUAUCUUUUAACUACUCAAGAUAGAAGUGACGGUUACAAGUCCCAUGGUAAAAGGUAAAACAAGUAAGUUUUAAAUCUUAACAGUUUAUCCUAACCUAGAGAUGAGAUCUUGUUUGAAUGCAUGUGUAUCUUUAAGGCAUGAAACCACUGCAGAAACUCUUAAGUUCAUCUUUGCUCAGGGACGAGCAAAGGUUAAGCUUGGGGGAGCUUGUUGACGGUCCUUAAUGCUCAUAUUUAACCAUCGACUAAUCAUGGAAAAGGAUCCAAAUGCAAUUAACACCUAGACUUAGGGUUUUAUCUGAUAGAAUUCCAUGAGUUUUGGUGUUUGUCUAUUUCUGCAGGGGGUUAUCAGGAAAUACGGAGGAAAGGCCCACACGUCGGGUUUACAUAGAGAUAUUAACGUGCCGUGCAAUUUUCUAUCAUCUAGAAGACUCCAGAAGCCAUGGGACCAAAGCGGAGGCUGAGAGGACUCAGGGACAGGGCGCCCGCCCUCCUCUCCUGGGCGCCCGCCCUCAACUAGAGUCCAAUCAGGACUCUCUUUCGGGAUAUUGCUCCACCGACCUAAAGGAUCAAGGAUAACCAUUCAAUCAAUGUCGGUUUGAUCCAACGGCCCAGAUUCAUCUGAAAAGACAAUAUAAGCAAGGCCCCCUGGCCCCUGGAGAUCAUACCUCUUCUACAGAAUCAAAGCUAGGGUUUCAAUUCUUCAUCCAAGUAGAGAGGAUCCCUCUAGUUCUUCUAGUUCUACCUCUAGUUCAUCUAGAUCUAGUUCUAGUUCAUCUAGUUCUAGUUCUAGUUCCUCUAGUUCUAGUUCUAGUUAGUUCUAGUUGUAAUCUAUAAAAUAGGGAGAGAGAAGAGGAGAGCGGAGGAGGAGCCGGAUCUGUCGGAUCUUCCUCAACAUUGUACUUUUGUAGCAACUGGUUCGUCCUUCAUCGUUCUCCAGGUUCUUCAAUUCACAAUUCCUGAGUUCUUUAAUUACUUUUAUUUACAUUCAAGUUAUUUAUUGGAUUCCCGCUUGCAUCAAGUGCUCUAGUCUUUAUAACGCUAGAGUAGUAAUUAAUAGAUUAGACGUGGUGUUUAGUCUUGCAAUUACCUGAAAUUGCACCCAAUCCUGCGGAUUGUUGUGGUAGCCUUAGGGUAGUGACAUCCCUAACGGUCGACGUAUUCCACCUCGUUCGGAUCGGGUUUUGUAGGACCAUAGUCAGACCUUCCUAGCCCCCUUCUCAUCUGUUUCUGUGGUUAGUGCUCUAAUGUCCCGAUAUAGAUAAUCUUGAAGUAAUUCUUGAUUCUUAGAUCAACUAGAGAACUCUCAGGAAACUUCCUCUGUUCCCACCAAAAAUAAUUAUAUAGUUAUCCUUGGGCGAUCUUGGAUCUUAAUUAGUACACUCACGUUCUCUGUGGAAAAUCGAUACUCUGGAAUACUCCCGGGUGAAAGCUACGUCGGUAUCCGUGCGCUUGUGGAUUUUUCUGUUUGCGUUUAAAAUACCCAACAGCAACAUGACAAAGGAUGUUUUUAUAUAAAGUACUCCCCCAAGCUUGAAUUUUGCAAAAUUCAAGUUUGGGUGAAUUUAAUUCAAUGUUGUAUGAUGAUUGGUUGGACAUACCUUGUGCUUGUCAUUCAUCCGAUCUUCUUGCUCCAAUCUUGGAAAGGUUAGUGACAAGAAUACCCGAAGGAAUAUUUUCACAAUUAUCUUUAUAUGCUCAAUACACAAGGUAAUGUUGCAAAUAAUUACAAGCUCAUUUUACGAUCUGAUCAGUGCUUAUUUUAGGACACUAAACUUGUCCUUGGGAAACCAUCAAUUUAUGUCGGCGAAGUGGUUUUCCUUCCAACGCUGACCUAUAUCAAGAUCAACUCAACGAGAUCUACAAUAUUUAUUAUAGACAUAUGCAUCGACAACCGCCCUUUUAAAGUUUUUAUAAAUAGAAAGGAAGAGGGGGUUGGAGAUCUCAAGUGUGGUGAUGUUGGAGAGACCAAUAGAUUGGGAAGAUGUUGCAUAUGAGCAUGGAGUAAAUGAAGUGGCUAUGAAAUAAAUUCCAUGCUCAUUAAUGUUAUCUUCAUCUCCAAUCUGAAUGUUCGGAGUUUCUCCUGGAUUGGUCUCACUUAUGUCCUCUUCUAUAGUUGGAUGAAUCUCAUCUUCAAAGGGAGUCAAGAACUCACCAUUUGAAAUUGAGCCAAAGUCAGAAUCCAUUAAGGCUUCUUCCUUAUCCAUCCAUUCUACACAUUCUAGCCAUUAAUUGUUUCACCAUUAUUUUCAUCAUUAUCACCAUUCAUUCACCACACAUGCACAUCUUGAUUUGACUUAUUGACUUGUUUCUCUGGAUCCAUCGUUUGACUAUGCAAUAAAUGUUUUGUAAGUAUGUAUUAGCUGUGUCCCACCUAUGAGCUCCAGAUAUCAAAACCUUGUUAGAGUAGGGCGAGAGAGAAGGCAAUAUCACUAUGCCUCAUACUACAAAUACUACGUACUUUGAGAGAAGGCGUAUAUCAUCACUGCCUCGGUAAGGAUCCAGAAAUACCACAAAAGAGAGACUAGAUAGUGUCAUACAAGGAAUCUCUGAGUUUUAUUUGAAAAUCUGCAAAAACUCCAGAGCUAUAGUUGAUCAAAGAACAAGAGACAUGGUGCUUGACUUGACCGUUCUAUCUUUUAACUGCUCAAGACACAAGUGACGAUUGCAAGCCCCAUGGUGGAAGGUAAUAUGAGUAAGUUUAAAUCUUAACAGUUUACCCUAACUUAGAGAUGAGAUCUUGUUUAAACGCAUGUGUACCUUUAAGGCAUAAAACCACUGCAGAAACUCUUGAGUCCAUCAUUGCUCAGGGACGAGCAAGAGGUAAGCUUGGGGAGAUGUUGACGGUCCUUAAGUACCAAAUAUAAUCAUCAAAUAAAUAAAGAAAAGGAUCCAAAUGCAGCCAACACCCAAACUUAGGGUUUUAUCUCACAGAAUUCCAUGAGUUUUGGUGUUUGUCUAUUUCUGCAGGGGGUUAUCAGGAAAUAAGGAAGAAAGGUCCACACGUCGGGUUUACAUAGAGAUAUUAACGUGCCGCGCAAUUUUCUAUCAUCUAGAAGACUCCAGAAGCCACGGGAACGAACGGGAGGCCGAACGGGCCCGGGGGCAGGGCGCCCGCCCUCCCCCCUUGGGCGCGCGCCCUAGAGUUUCAACCAAUCAUGCUCAAUCUCGUGGAUUAUGCUCCACCGACCUAAAGGAUCAAGAAUAACCGUUCAAUCAAUGUCGGUUUGAUCCGACGGCCCAGGUUCACUUGAGGGGACUAUAUAACCAGACCCCCUGGCCCCUGGAGGAGGCACCCCUUGAUCAUUAUUCAUUAUUCAUAGACAGAGCAAAAGCUAGGGUUUAGAGAUGAGAUCUCUCCUCUCUUCUCUAAACUAGAGUAGAUCUAGAUAGUAGCGAGAUGGAGAGCGAAGGAGGAUUAGAGGAGAGGCCAGCCUGUUGGUUCUUCCUCCGGUUGUACUUCGCCAUGAUCAGGCUCUAAUCAAGCUUGCUCAUGGGAUGACUCCGGUAAUCUACUUCUAAUUCAUUAUGCAAUUACUAAUCAUGUAUGUUCUGGUUCACAACUCUUUUGAGUACUUCUAAUCUAUAGGACCCUAUAGGUUAGAGUUGUAGUAUAGGUGUAAGCGUGGUGGUUAGACCUAGAUUACUUGUGGAUAUCCUGUGUCUAGCCGGAUCGUGUGGUAGGCCGCGUAUGUGAUAGCUAUGUUGGUCCUCUGUAGUCCACCUCUCGUUAGCAGGACGGGUAGGGUUUAUCAGCCGAUGGAUAAGCAUCCUUUGUGGUGUAUUCUUAUUGUUGACGGUUCUUAAGUAUCAAUUUUAAUUAUCAAAUAAACAAGGGAAAGGACCAAUAUGCAACCAACACUUAGAAUCAGGGUUUGAUCUGACAGAAUUCCACGAGUUUUGUUGUUUAUCUGUUUCUGUAGGGGGUUAUCAGGAAAUAAGGAAGAAAGACCCACAUGUCGGGAUUACAUAGAGAUAUCAAUGCACCGCACGAUUUUUUACCAUCUAGAAGACUCCAGAAGCCACGGGAAGAAGACGGAGGCCGAAAGGGGCCAGGCCCAGGGCGCCCGCCCUGGUGACCUGGGCGCCCGCCCCCUGCUGGAGUGCUUUCAGGACUCUCUUCGCACGGGAUAUUCCACCGACCUAUUGGAUCAAGGAAAACAUAGUACCACCUCGUAUACCGACCCAAAAACGCAUAGAAGGGGAGGACUAUAUAAGGAGACCCCCUGGACCCUGGAGAAGACAUGAAGAAAUUAUCAUAGAGACUGAGGGGUGCCCUCGAAGGAAAACCUCUUCUCUAAUUAAUAUUUCUUUUUAGGCUUAGCAACCAAUGUAAGGUAGAAAUAGAUCUUCUAGUUUCUACUAGAUUGAGAGAGAUAGAGUGGAGGUGUAGAUUGGAGGAAGCCCGGCCUGUCGGUGUCUACUCCAAGCUUGUACCUGCGGGAUCAAGUUCUCCUAACCCGAAGCUUGCUCCUAGGAUUCUUCAGUAUUUCGACUUCUAAAUUCUAGUAAGUUCUUGUUUUAUUGUUCUUAUGGUUUAUGAGUUUACUUUAAUCCCUUCGUGUAGAGUUUAGAGUAAUCAUUGCUGGCAUAAACGUGGUGUUUAGGCUAGGGUACUCAUAGAUAUUCCCUGACUAGCUGGACCGUGGUACUAGUGAGGAACGUGACAAUUCUGAGUUACCUUUGUAGAUCACAUCUCGUUAGCAGGAAGGAUAGGGUUUAUAGGUGCGGGUUGAACAUCCUUUGUGGUGUCAAGAUUCCGUUAGCCUCCCCAUUAGAACAGUAGAUUAUCCUUACCAAGGUUAGAAGGAGACUACGGUUGCAGUCUUCUCUAUUUAUCACUCACAUCGAAAGACAUUCUUUGUGCCUAAAGGUUAGUAGUAAUAGACUGGUUAGUCAGAUGCACUCUUUCUCCUAGUGGUAAAAAAAUAAAUACGAUACUCUAGAUAACCUCCCAUGUGAAGUGCUCACCGAUAUCCGUGCGCUUGCGGAUCAAUUCCUUAUUGCGUUCCCAAAUAUCAACAAGCAUUUCUAGCGCCGUUGCCGGGGAGAAAGACGGUUGCUGAGAUAACCUGAGUCUUACUAUUAGCUUGUAUCUAUACUUUUACCUUUUCUUAUCUUUUAUAUUCUGUAUUUAUUUUCUUUACUCUUACCUUAUGGAAAACCAAAAUUCUAAAUCGAUCCAUGAGUCUGCAAUCCCUUCAGCAACUGACCUUUUACCAUGGGAAUCAUCACAGCCUAUCCAAACAUCCCAGUAUAAGUUAAGUUCUUGGUUGAUUGCCAUGAUUCAAAACCUAUCUUUUUCGGGAAAGGAAGACGAAAACCCUUACCUUUAUAUUAGAGAUGUUGAGCAAACAUGUGAUGUCUUCGCAUUGAAGGCAUUUCUGAUAAAACUUUACGUUGGAAGCUUUUUCCUUUUUCCUUAAGGGGAGAAGCUAGACAAUGGUACAGUCAGAAGGUAAGUCAACAACAAGGUGAAUGGGGAAUUUUACGAGCCAACUUUUGUCUAGAUUUCUAUUCCCUUGACCGUAUAGCCGACCUUAGACUCGAAGUCCUAUCUUUUAAACAAAAAGAUAAUGAAACUUUGGGAAAAUCCUGGAAAUAUUUUUCUGAUCUUUUAGAAUCUGGUCCAAACCUUAAUCUUGAAGACCCUGUUCUUUUAUUCCACUUUUUUUGAGGUCUUCAGAAAAAUCACAAACAAAUGCUUCACACAAUGUCUAGAGGUUCUUUCUUUCGCAUCCCUGCUGAUGAAGCUAGAGUGAUCCUAGAUAGAAUCCUAGAAGCUGAGAUGGAUAAUACACUUCAUGAUGAAACCCACGAAGCCGAAGUAGACACUCUACCAAAUUCUUCAUCUACUUUAGCUAUCCCAAGUUCUGAGCCACAAGAGGAAGAAAUUCCACCACCGGACUUCAUGCAGGAUAUAGAAUCCGAUCUUUUUGCCGAUUUUGGAAAUAUUUCAAACUACCAUUCUAUUGACAAAGCCCAAAACGGCCAGUUUAGCAUUUAUUUGCCAAGUGAAUAUCAAUUGAGAGAGCUUAUCUCAGUCAUGAGUAGCGAAUGGUUGGAGGAAUCAGAGCUUUCCUCUGAUGUGAUCCGUUUGGACACACCCUCUAUAACUAUACGCUGUGCUUAUAAUUCUGAUCGAUUUAAUGCUCUUUAUAAUCCUGUUGUGGGGAUCAACAUCAUGUCUGAAUCUUUUGCACUUAAACUAUUUAAAAAUCUUGUCUUAACCCCCACAACAAAGGUCAUAAAGGAAUCUUCGGGACGGUUAGUCCCCAGUCUUGGAAUUAUUAAUGUCCUACCUCUUACGGUAGAAGGCUCCAUGGUUCAUUUGAACUUCUAUAUCUUUGAUACAUGGGACUUCGACCUGUUGAUAGGACAACCUUUUAGAAGACUCCUUUAUGAAGGUCAUACUGGAAAGCUACACAUUUCUUUUGGAAAAACCUUUAAAUUCCCAAUAACAAUUUCACACUCUUUAAAUAAUAAGGCCGAGUCAUAUCUUUUGCCUGAUCCUAUGGAGGAAGUAAAGGCUGCAUCUCUAGAGCUUUUAGAUGAACCAGACUUAGAAGACGAAACUCCUUUCUUCACUGAACAAGAAGACGAACCUUCUGAGCCUGAACCCUUAGAUGAGUUUGCUGAAACACCUAGACCUCCCAUAGAGCAUAAAACUUUACCACCCGGUCUUACCUAUGCUUUCCUAAACAAUAAUCCAGAGUUCCCUGUAAUCAUUAGCGAUAAACUCACUCAGGAUCAAACUCUGCGAUUAAUGACCAUUCUUGAAAAACAUCACUCAGUUUUUGGCUACUCACUUCAAGAUCUUUCAGGAAUCAGUCCUAUGAUUUGUACCCAUCGUAUUCCAACAGAUCCUUCUGUUACACCCUCUCGAUAACCCCAACGUAGACUUAACAACACUAUGAGAGAGGUAGUUAAAAAGGAAGUUAUAAAGUUGCUACAUGCAGGGAUUAUAUAUCCUGUGCCGCACAGUGAGUGGGUAAGGGAGGCAUGACUGUUAUUAUGAAUGAAAAGAACGAGCUAAUUCCGCAACGCACCGUCACAGGAUGGCGGAUGUGCAUAGACUAUAGAAAACUAAACAAAGCCACGAGAAAGGAUCACUUUCCUUUACCUUUUAUAGAUGAAAUGCUAGAGCGAUUAGCGAACCAUUCGUUCUUCUAUUUCUUAGAUGGAUAUUCAGGGUAUCACCAAAUCCCGAUCCAUCCCGAUGAUCAAAGCAAAACCACUUUUACAUGCCCAUAUGGAACUUAUGCUUAUCGUAGAAUGUCUUUUGGGUUAUGUAAUGCACCAGCUUCUUUUCAAAGAUGCAUGAUGUCUAUAUUUUCUGAUAUGAUUGAAGAGAUUAUGGAAGUUUUCAUGGAUGAUUUCUCUGUUUAUGGAAAAACUUUUGAUAGUUGUCUUGAAAACUUAGACAAGGUUUUGCAAAGAUGUGAAGAAAAGCACUUAAUCCUUAAUUGGGAAAAAUGUCAUUUUAUGGUUAGGGAAGGAAUAGUGCUGGGACACCUAGUGUCUAAAAGAGGUAUUGAGGUAGACAAAGCUAAAAUUGAAGUAAUUGAACAACUACCUCCACCUGUGAAUAUAAAAGGAAUUCGAAGCCUUCUUGGCCAUGCUGGUUUUUAUCGUAGAUUCAUAAAAGAUUUUUCAUUUAUUGCUAGAUCACUUACUCUUUUGCUAGCCAAGGAUGCUCCUUUCGAAUUUGAUGAUGCAUGUCUAACAUCUUUCAAUUUAUUAAAGAAAGCACUCAUCUCUGCACCAAUCAUUCAACCUCGUGAUUGGUCGUUGCCUUUUGAAAUUAUGUGUGAUGCUAGUGAUUAUGCUGUGGGGGCAGUAUUGGGACAAACUAAAGAUAAGAAGCAUCAUGCAAUUACUUAUGCCAGUAAAACUUUGACAGGAGCUCAACUUAAUUAUGCAACCACUGAAAAAGAGCUUCUGGCUGUUGUCUUUGCCAUUGAUAAAUUUAGAUCUUAUUUAGUUGGAGCUAAAAUAAUUGUUUACACUGAUCAUGCUGCACUAAAAUAUUUGCUCACUAAAAAAUAUGCUAAACCUCGCCUGAUUAGAUGGAUCUUAUUACUCUAAGAAUUUGACUUAGAAAUAAAAGAUAAAAAGGGAGUAGAAAAUUCUGUUGCUGAUCACUUGUCUAGAAUGUAUUUUAAGAGUCCACAGGAAACCCCCAUCAAUGAUUCACUCCGGGACGACAUGCUCUAUGGGAUUAACAGGUCUGACCCCUGGUAUGCAGAUAUUGUUAAUUUUAUGGUUUCAGGGUAUGUACCACCAGGAGCAAACAAGAAGAAGCUUAUUCGAGAAAGUCGUUCACAUAUAUGGGAUGAGCCAUACCUCUUCCGAGUAUGCUCUGAUGGCUUACUCAGGAGAUGUGUGACUACUGAGGAAGGAUGGAAGAUCAUCGACAGAUGUCAUUCAUCACCAUAUGGGGGUCACUUUGGAGCAUUCCGUACACAUUCAAAAAUCUGGCAGUGUGGAUUCUACUGGCCUACAAUGUAUGAAGACACGAAGCAAUAUUUCAGAAGAUGUGGGCCAUGUCAAAGACACGGAAACAUAAAUACAAAGGAUGCAAUGCCACUCACCAACAACCUUCAGAUUGAGCUCUUUGAUGUCUGGGGAAUAGACUACAUGGGUCCAUUUCCUCCAUCAAAGAAAAGUGAGUACAUCUUGGUGGCAGUUGACUAUGUCUCCAAGUGGGUAGAGGCAUUACCUUGCAAGCAUGCCGACAACGUCAGUUCAAAGAGGAUGUUUGAAGAAAUUAUAUUUCCAAGAUUUGGAGUUCCCAGAGUAGUGAUAAGUGAUGGAGGAGCACACUUCAUCGACAAACGCUUCAAGCAAUAUCUAUCAAGAUAUGGAAUCCGUCACAACGUCGCUACCCCCUAUCAUCCUCAGACAAGUGGCCAAGCAGAGACUUCCAACAAACAAAUCAAGAAUAUUCUUCAGAAAACAGUAAAUGAAAUGGGAACGGCAUGGAAAGACAAGUUAUCCGAUGCACUCUGGGCAUGCCGGACAGCAUACAAGACCCCAAUUGGAAUGUCUCCAUACCAAUUGGUGUACGGGAAGACUUGCCAUCUACCUGUUGAACUAGAGUUCAAAGCACACUGGGCCAUAAAGAGAUGGAAUAUGGACCUAGAUGUUGCUGGAGAUUAUAGAAGAAUGCAACUAUCAGAAUUAGAAGAAUGGCGAGAGAAGGCAUAUCACAACUCAAAGAUUUAUAAAGAAAGAGUCAAAAGGUGGCAUGACAAGAGAAUCAAGAAGAAGGAGUUCACACCCGGAGAUAAGGUAUUACUUUUUAAUUCCAGGGUGAAGCUUUUCGGGCAUGGAAAACUCUGGAGCAAAUGGGAAGGGCCAUUCAAGGUAAUUAAUUCAUCAUCCCACGGAGCUAUCACACUUCAAAAUAGCGAAGGUACGUUAUUCAAGGUAAAUGGUCAACAUCUUAAACUAUUUUUAGAGCCCAAUGAAGAAUUAGAAGAAAUAGACGUAGUCCAUUUUUACCUUUCCAUGGAGAAUUAGAGCCCGACACUUUUAGUCUGAUGUUUUUGGGUCAUAUAUAUAUUUUUCUAAAUAAUUUCGCAUCUAGAAACGCUCUCAGAAAAGUGGGCCCACAGAGGGGCCAGAGAGAGGGCGGGCGCCCAGCUCCUGUUCCCCCUCGGUUCCGACAUUCUCUGUUAUGGAAAAUGCACUUAUGGUAAUCCGAAUAAUCCCUCGGAUGGAAAGUUUUCACGCACAUCGACGGGAGAAACCUGAACAACCCAUAGAUGCACUUUUUGACCCCUAUAUAAACAGACACCUGACCUCAGUUUUCAAACACCAAGCCACCAAGCCUUCUCUCCUUCAAUUAGAGCUUGAUUAGUUCCUUGCUGCUCCUAUGGCCGAGAAGUACCAUGAUGAUUGGGAAGUCGUCCCCUUCAACCUCAACAUGGAGCCUGUGGAAGACCCCGAUGCCCGUGCUCUCGUCCCGGCCAACACAGAACGACAGCUAGAAGCCAUGCCAUUAUGCCAACGCAGCUCCGCCCAAUCUUACCAUGCUCAACCAGUUCUCACCGCACCGCCACAACCCCUACUCCUCAAAGGGUCAUCAUCCAAGACGAAGACCACUAUCAAGGUGCCAAUCGGCACAAGGAUCCUUCCACCUAGACCCAACGAGAGGCAAGAUCAGCAGUAUUCGCUACAAUACGGAGGAGGAAAGGCCUUACUUUGAAGGGAUUAGAGCAGCCAAAGUCCAUUUCAUCCCUCCAAAGGCAGCCCGGAAGCACGCUCUCAAUGCUUUUGAGACACCUCCCAAGCGUCGCAAGACUAUAAUGGAUAUUGAUGAGGACGUUCGCAGACUAGACAGAAUUAUCAUAGACCUCCAGUCCUCGAUUAAUUCCCUCACUAGGCAGCUCUCUAACCACAACACCAUUAUACUAGGUCUUAGGCAGGAUCUUGCCAGUGCCAACAAGAAGAUCAAGGAAUUAGAGCGCCGCUAAGUUAUCUAGAUUAGACCUUGAGGCAAUACAUCUUAGUCAUUUAUCUUUAAAUUCGGUUUAGGUUUGCUAUUAUCAUCAGUUUACUAUUAUCAUUAGUUUGCUAUCUGUUUGCUACUAGUCUUUUGUAAUAAAUGCCUCAAGAUUAAUAAAGAGUAUUAUUAUUAUUAUGUCUUGUGUGUCUCUACUUUAUUUUUUUGCAAGAAAGCAGAAAACAAGUAUGGGGGAGAUCCCACGACAUGCCAAACACACUCCGACCACACCACUCCACAAUUCAGGUACACACUCUGCACACUUUACUCUACACAUACACAUAUGUUGAAUUAUGCAGAUUACUGUUUCCGACAUGAUAAAUUAAAAAGAUUAAAAUAUUUCUAAUAAUGAUUAAUCUCAACCUAUGAUAUUUCCUGAAAACUUGCAAUUAUUAUAAAAUCAUUUUAAAACCCUGUGUUACUUAAGUCAUUGUGGAUUAUGUGAUGGUAGAGUAUGAGUUUCUUAUUCUUGAUAUCAUUGUUGCUUGGAGAAUUUAUUUCAAAAUAUUCAAAAUUCUAGCUACCAUCCUCAGUGUUUUAUAUGCCUGAUAAAACUGAAAAUAUUAAUUAUGAUUAUAAAAGCUAUCUACUCUGUAUUGAGUUUGUUCAAAAUGAGUUAGACCCUUGUUGAGAGGUUUAUCAUGCUCCUAAGAUCAAGACAUUUAUUCAGAAAGAUUCACUCUUCCGAAGUAUUAUAGCAUUAGCGGCAUGGGCUAUGCAAAAAUAAAGAUAUUUCGAGGAAAUAAAAAGGAGCAAGUGCUCGACAACCUCGCAGAAAAAAAUGGACAAGUGUCCGGCAGUAGAAUUAGGGAUACCUCGGUAUCCACUUAAAAAAAAGAGCGAAAAAAAAUGAUAGCCCAUGGUCCCUCUAGUAAGCAAUAUGCCAGCAAGAGUUGACAAAGAUUUUAAUUUCCAAAGUCUUUGAUCUAAGAUUAUGACAUUUCCCUCCUCGGAUCCCGUUUUGAUCAGGCAAUAAAUGCAAAGUAAGUAUGCUUGAGAAUUUUUUGCAAAUUAAAACAACCUCAGUGAGAUAUAUAUAUAAAAGAUAAUGAGUGAUCUGAGAGAACCUAUGAGCAUAAAAAGGUAUGCUAACUUUCUUUCAAAAAUAUACAAAAGCUCCAAGUGACAGGAUUGAGAAGAAAGGAUCUUUACUCUUAACCAUAAACAUCCUUGACUAUGGUACACAGUGGAUUUUUAACACCCUGCAAUUAUAAAGAGAAUGUUUUAAAUGUUUACCUCAGAUAUUGUUCUUAACCAUCCUUUUCUCGAGGACGAGUAAAAGCCUAAGUAUGGGGGUAUUUGUUGACGGUUCUUAAGUAUCAAUUUUAAUUAUCAAAUAAACAAGGGAAAAGGACCAAUAUGCAACCAACACUUAGAAUUAGGGUUUGAUCUGACAGAAUUCCACGAGUUUUGUUGUUUAUCUGUUUCUGUAGGGGGUUAUCAGGAAAUAAGGAAGAAAGACCCACAUGUCGGGAUUACAUAGAGAUAUCAAUGCACCGCACGAUUUUUUACCAUCUAGAAGACUCCAGAAGCCACGAGAAGAAGACGGAGGCCGAAAGGGGCCAGGCCCAGGGCGCCCGCCCUGGUGACCUGGGCGCCCGCCCCCUGCUGGAGUGCUUUCAGGACUCUCUUCGCACGGGAUAUUCCACCGACCUAUUGGAUCAAGGAAAACAUAGUACCACCUCGUCUACCGACCCAAAAACGCAUAGAAGGGGAGGACUAUAUAAGAAGACCCCCUGGACCCUGGAGAAGACAUGAAGAAAUUAUCAUAGAGACUGAGGGGUGCCCUCGAAGGAAAACCUCUUCUCUAAUUAAUAUUUCUUUUUAGGCUUAGCAACCAAUGUAAGGUAGAAAUAGAUCUUCUAGUUUCUACUAGAUUGAGAGAGAUAGAGUGGAGGUGUAGAUUGGAGGAAGCCCGGCCUGUCGGUGUCUACUCCAAGCUUGUACCUGCGGGAUCAAGUUCUCCUAACCCGAAGCUUGCUCAUAGGAUUCUUCAGUAUUUCGACUUCUAAAUUCUAGUAAGUUCUUGUUUUAUUGUUCUUAUGGUUUAUGAGUUUACUUUAAUCUCUUCGCGUAGAGUUUAGAGUAAUCAUUGCUGGCAUAAACGUGGUGUUUAGGCUGGGGUACUCAUAGAUAUUCCCUGACUAGCUGGACCGUGGUAGUAGUGAGGAACGUGACAAUUCCGAGUUACCUUUGUAGAUCACAUCUCGUUAGCAGGAAGGAUAGGGUUUAUAGGUGCGGGUUGAACAUCCUUUGUGGUGUCUAGAUUCCGUUAGCCUCCCCAUUAGAACAGUAGAUUAUCCUUACCGAGGUUAGAAGGAGACUACGGUUGUAGUCUUCUCUAUUUAUCACUCACAUCGAAAGACAUUCUUUGUGCCUAAAGGUUAGUAGUAAUAGUCUGGUUAGUCAGAUGCACUCUUUCUCCUUGUGGUAAAAAAAUAAAUACGAUACUCUGGAUAACCUCCCGAGUGAAGUGCUCACCGAUAUCCGUGCGCUUGCGGAUCAAUUCCUUAUUGCGUUCCCAAAUAUCAACACUUAUCACGUGGUUCGUCCCAGACAUAGACAUACCCCUUUGAAGUAGAGAAACCAUAGUUAUCCUCUCUAUUCUUCUACCAUCGCCCAUAUACUAGAAUUGCUCUACUCUCUAUUCCCAUAUUAUCACUCACUGUUAUCUUACCUUUAAUAUUGUUCUUAUUCGAUUCUACCAUCUUUCCUAUUUACACCUAUUUACUUAUCUUGGUUAAGUUACAGCGUAGAUCAGUUCUCCCGUUUCCCUGUGGAUACGAUGAAACCAUUAACUGGGUAAAAGCUACAUCGGUAUCCGUGCGCUUGCGGAUUUAUCUGUGUGCGUAUAAAUACCAUAGUACACUCUAGUGCCAUGCUGGGGAUGACAACCUAGUAUUCAAGUGGUGUUAGCAAGUGUCAACACCUAGGGCAUGUUAGCAUUGGAUAAGCAUUGCUAAAGACAGAUGAUAGUAGGGUAUAGAGGACAACAAAAGUUGCAAGUAUUCACCGAACUAGGGAAACAAGCUACUACCAAGCAAGUCAACUAUGAAAUUUCCAUCACUAAGUAGUUGCUUAGUAAGUUGGGUCGGUUUGUAUAGUAGCAAAAUAGCUUGGUGAAACUACUUUUGACAUUAAGGAUUCCUUUUUAGGAUCAAACAACAGCUCUAAGUUUAUAAAUCUAAGAUUUGUUGUUUAACACCUUUCCAAAUAUUUUUGACUUUUAGAACUCCUGGAUUGCUCAACUACCGGUUGAUGUGAUACGGUAACAGCUAGGCACCAAAGGUGAAAAGAGUCUUUAUAGGUCAUCCUAAGGUUCAUCUUGGUUCAGUCCACACCGCGCAAACUAGCUUCAUUAUGCAUGAAUUGUUAGUGUGUAUAGAGAUCCAAGAGUCUUUUGAUCAUUAACCAAAAUUCAGCUCAAGCAAACACCGUAUGGCUAACCAAACAAAACAAAACCUUUGAUAGCACUAUUGACGGUCCUUAAGUACCAAAUAUAAUCAUCAAAUAAAUAAAGAAAAGGAUCCAAAUGCAACCAACACCCAGACUUAGGGUUUUAUCUAACAGAAUUCCAUGAGUUUCUGUGUUUGUCUAUUUCUGCAGGGGGUUAUCACGAAAUAUGGAAGAAAGGCCCACACGUCGGGUUUACAUAGAGGUAUUAACGUGCCGCACAAUUUUCUAUCAUAGAAGACUCCAGAAGCCACAGGAACGAAUGGGAAGGCGAACGGGCCCGGGGGCAGGGCGCCCGCCCUGUCCCAGAGUCCAAUCAGGACUCUCUUCGAGGAUUACGCUCCACCGACCUAAAGGAUCAAGGAUAACCGUCCAAUCAAUGUCGGUUUGAUCCAACGGCUCAUGUUCACAUGAGGGGACUAUAAAACCAGACCCCCUGGCCCCUGGAGGAGACAAGUUCAUCAUAGAGUUGAUAGGAGCCCUCGAAGGAAUACCUCUCCUCUAAAUAAAAUUUCUUUUAGGCUUAGCAUCCAAUUUGAGUAGAAUUAGAUCUUCUAGGUUCUACUAGAUUGAGAGAGAUAGAGUGGAGGUGUAGAUCGGAGGAAGCCCGGCCUGUCGGUGUCUACUCCGAGGUUGUACCUGCGGGAUCAAGUCUUCUAACCCGAGGCUUGCUCCUAGGACUCUUCAGUAAUUCAACUUCUAAUUCUAGUAAGUUCUUGUUUUAUUGUUCUUUGGUUUAUGAGUUUACUUUAAUCUCUUCUGGUUGAGUUUAGAGUAAUCAUUCCUAGCGUAAACAUGGUGUUUGGGCUAGGGUACUCAUAGAUAUCCCCUGACUAGUUGGAACCGUGGUAGUAGCGAGGAACGUGACAUUUUCGAGUUACCUUUGCAGCCCAUAUCUCGUUAGCAGGAAGGAUAGGGUUUAUAGGUGCGGGUCGAACAUCCUUUGUGGUGUCUAGAUUCCAUAAGCUUCCCCAAUAGAACAGUAGAUCAUCCUUACCAAGGUUAGAACGAGACUACGGUUGCAGUCUUCUCUAUACAUCACUCACAUCGAGAAACAUUCUUUGUAGCCUAAAGGGUAGUAGUAAUAGAUUUGGUUAGUCAAAUGCAUGCUUUCUCCCAGUGGUAAAAAUAUAAAUACGAUACUAUGGAUAACCUCCCGGGUGAAAUGCUCACCGAUAUCCGUGCGCUUGCGAAUCAAUUCCUUAUUACGUUACCAAAUAUCAACAAGCAUUUAUGGCGCCGUUGCCGGGGAGAAAGACGGUUUGCUGAGAUAACUUUAAGUCUUGCUAUUAUCUUGUAUUAUACUUUUAUUCUUUUAUUCUUUUAUCUUUUUAUUUUUUCCAUCUUUAUGGAUAACUCAAAUUCCAUACCUAUUAUUGAAUUUUUUGCACCUUCGGAAACCAGCCAUAGACCAUGGGAGACAACAAGUCUUGCCCCUAAGUAUGAUCUGUGUCCAGAGUUGAUUGCAAUAGGUCAAAGCCAACCCUUUUCCAUAGCCGAGGUCCUAUCUUUUAAUCAAAAAGAUAAUAAACUUUUAGCUACACCUAGGGAAUCUGUUAAUCUUUCUAUAAAUUCUGGUUUAAACCUAGCCCUACAAGACCAUGUUUUUUCCUGAUAUUUUCACAUUGGUCUUAAUCAUANNNNNNNNNNNNNNNNNNNNNNNNNNNNNNNNNNNNNNNNNNNNNNNNNNNNNNNNNNNNNNNNNNNNNNNNNNNNNNNNNNNNNNNNNNNNNNNNNNNNGCUCCCUAUGCUUAAGGUUAGAGAAGAACAAAUACACUUUUGGUUCCAUUGGUGUUUUUCACUAACAGAGCCCAUGCACUUGAUCUCUGCCUUGUCUCUAUGAACAGGUACACUUCAUGCAAAAUAUGGAGGAGUUUACAACUCCCAGACUCCACCAAAUAAAGGACCUGGAUCUACGAGCACACACACACUGAGCAGGAUAUUGCCAACACCGCACUUCGAACUGCUGGGCAAACAAAGAACAUGGGUGACUCCAUAUCAAGAGGUGCAGACAUUAAGGUCCACACCUAAUCAAAUGAUGCACCUAAAGGAUGAAGACGGUGAGAAGUCUUGUCCAGAAGACUUAAAACAUUGGAUCCUUGUCGGAGGAGGUCAAGAUCGUCGACUCCAGUCGCCUUUCCUGAUCAAGAAGGACAACCCUGAUGUUCCAAGCAUCGAGUGCACAAUCAAUCUAUACUCUUUUCAGAAGACACUCUAAGACACCGGAUCUGACGUCAACAUAAUGGCUGCAGUCACUUAUCAGCUCCUACACAGAACCAUGCCCCUACAACCAAUAUAUAUUCAGCUCCAGAUGAUUUUUAGGUUAUUGACAUGGGAGAGGACGAGUAUGAUCCACCCACCAUCCUUGGAAGACCAUUCCUCAACACUAUCAAAGCCAUCAUCUAUAUUGGAACCGGAGAAGUCCACAUGCACUUCUCCUCUGAAGAAGGCGACGCAACCGAAACCACAGGAGGCAAAUCAUCAAGGACGGAUGGGUAGACUACGAAGGAUAAGUGAUAAGGUCUGAAGACAUACAGCUUGAACAGAACUGUCCUGAGGAGACCGUAGCACCGAGUCAGGUGUGGAGAGAGAAGAUAGUUAUACAUGAAGAGGAGGCCCAUGUGAGUAUGCUCAUGGCAUAAAACCCAUAGGUACAUUUCAGUGUGGUGGCAUAAAAUAAAUAUGUUUUCAUCUUACAAUAAAAAUAUAAAUAAUAAGUGCAUGAUCCUACUAAAUAAAAUUUAUUAGGAGGAAGCUCAACAUGAUAAAGGCUAGAGAUUUUAUGCUAACACUUAACCAGUUCCACAAAGCUUUGUUGUCUAUUUGAGCUCCACAGAAUUCAAGGAUCAAAGAAGACUAGCAGAUGGAGGACAUCCUAAUCGCUGUCAGGGUGCUCAAAUAGACAACAAAGCUUUGUGGAACCAUGGAUCCAGAGAAUACAUACUUACAAGACAUUUAUUGCAUAGUCAAACCAUGGAUCUAGAGAAACAAGUCAAUAAGUCAAAUCAAGAUGUGCAUGUGUGGCGAAUGAAUGGUGAUGAUGGUGAUAACAAUGGUGAAAGUCUAAUUCUACUUUUGCUCUUUUGAGGGGAUACAUACCUUUCUUGCACUUUAAAGGUUUUUGAGGAGAAUGAGAUGCUCUAUAUUCUUUUUCUUUUCUCUCAGGUGGGUAUCUUGUACCCCUAAGUCUACUAUCGGACACUUGUCCAUUUUUACCUCUCGUCUCACUUUUUCUUUUCUUCGAGGUUCCGGGCACUUGCCCCUUUUUAUUUCCUCGUAUCUCUUUUUUUUCUCUAGAGCACUCAUCUCUUGAAAUAAUGUAGCAAGUGGUAGUAACCGAAAUAACUUGAGCAUUUAUUUCACAGGGGAAAACAGAAAUAGAAGAAUGUUUCUGGCUAUUCUCUCCCGGAUUAGGAGUAGAAUAUUUUUGGAUGGUUCUCGAGAUGGAAAUGGGUGGAUAUAUGUGGAUGCGUACUUCCGGAGUAGAAGCAGCAUGUGUGAGUGAACGUGCAAGUGAAUCUUGAUUUUAACCACAGCUUGACCACACUCAAUGCUCAUAAGCAGUAAAAAGUAAAUGUAUGGUUCAUAGUCUAAUAAGCAUGUAUAUAUGGCUAUGGUAGGAUGUUAAACUCUCAUCAUACAGAAACUCAUCAUGCAACAUUUUAAAGAUUUUCAAAGAUAAAAUUCUCUAGAAUUCUAGCAUCUCUAGGAACAGAUA